UGGUGCCUUCGGGAACUCUGACACAGGUGCUGCAUGGCUGUCGUCAGCUACGUGUCGUGAGAUGUUGGGUUAAGUCCCGUAACGAGCCGCAACCCUUGUCCUUAGUUACCAGCACGUUAUGGUGGGCACUCUAAGGAGACUGCCGGUGACAAACCGGAGGAAGGUGGGGAUGACGUCAAGUCAUCAUGGCCCUUACGGCCUGGGCUACACACGUGCUACAAUGGUCGGUACAAAGGGUUGCCAAGCCGCGAGGUGGAGCUAAUCCCAUAAAACCGAUCGUAGUCCGGAUCGCAGUCUGCAACUCGACUGCGUGAAGUCGGAAUCGCUAGUAAUCGUGAAUCAGAAUGUCACGGUGAAUACGUUCCCGGGCCUU
rnacentral:rRNA from 1 species